rnacentral:misc_RNA from 1 species
GUGAAUCAUCAAAUUUUUGAACGCAAAUUGCACUCUCCGGUUUUCCGGGAGAGUAUGCCUGUUUGAGGGUCAGCCUAAAAAAAAUCGACAUUGUUGCUGUUAUUUAAUGGUGACUUUCGUCGGAGAUUGGGUUAUCUUAAACCUUUUUUUUUUUAGUUUUACAUGAUUUAAAAUUUUAUUUAACGUUCCCAUGAACGUUUCAAAUAUUUUAUUUUUUAUUAGGUUUAAG